GACGAACGCUGGCGGCGUGCCUAAUACAUGCAAGUCGUACGCUUCUUUUUCCACCGGAGCUUGCUCCACCGGAAAAAGAAGAGUGGCGAACGGGUGAGUAACACGUGGGUAACCUACCCAUCAGAAGGGGAUAACACUUGGAAACAGGUGCUAAUACCGUAUAACAAUCGAAACCGCAUGGUUUUGAUUUGAAAGGCGCUUUCGGGUGUCGCUGAUGGAUGGACCCGCGGUGCAUUAGCUAGUUGGUGAGGUAACGGCUCACCAAGGCUACGAUGCAUAGCCGACCUGAGAGGGUGAUCGGCCACAUUGGGACUGAGACACGGCCCAAACUCCUACGGGAGGCAGCAGUAGGGAAUCUUCGGCAAUGGACGAAAGUCUGACCGAGCAACGCCGCGUGAGUGAAGAAGGUUUUCGGAUCGUAAAACUCUGUUGUUAGAGAAGAACAAGGAUGAGAGUAACUGUUCAUCCCUUGACGGUAUCUAACCAGAAAGCCACGGCUAACUACGUGCCAGCAGCCGCGGUAAUACGUAGGUGGCAAGCGUUGUCCGGAUUUAUUGGGCGUAAAGCGAGCGCAGGCGGUUUCUUAAGUCUGAUGUGAAAGCCCCCGGCUCAACCGGGGAGGGUCAUUGGAAACUGGGAGACUUGAGUGCAGAAGAGGAGAGUGGAAUUCCAUGUGUAGCGGUGAAAUGCGUAGAUAUAUGGAGGAACACCAGUGGCGAAGGCGGCUCUCUGGUCUGUAACUGACGCUGAGGCUCGAAAGCGUGGGGAGCAAACAGGAUUAGAUACCCUGGUAGUCCACGCCGUAAACGAUGAGUGCUAAGUGUUGGAGGGUUUCCGCCCUUCAGUGCUGCAGCUAACGCAUUAAGCACUCCGCCUGGGGAGUACGACCGCAAGGUUGAAACUCAAAGGAAUUGACGGGGCCCCGCACAAGCGGUGGAGCAUGUGGUUUAAUUCGAAGCAACGCGAAGAACCUUACCAGGUCUUGACAUCCUUUGACCACUCUAGAGAUAGAGCUUCCCCUUCGGGGGCAAAGUGACAGGUGGUGCAUGGUUGUCGUCAGCUCGUGUCGUGAGAUGUUGGGUUAAGUCCCGCAACGAGCGCAACCCUUAUUGUUAGUUGCCAUCAUUCAGUUGGGCACUCUAGCAAGACUGCCGGUGACAAACCGGAGGAAGGUGGGGAUGACGUCAAAUCAUCAUGCCCCUUAUGACCUGGGCUACACACGUGCUACAAUGGGAAGUACAACGAGUCGCGAAGUCGCGAGGCUAAGCUAAUCUCUUAAAGCUUCUCUCAGUUCGGAUUGUAGGCUGCAACUCGCCUACAUGAAGCCGGAAUCGCUAGUAAUCGCGGAUCAGCACGCCGCGGUGAAUACGUUCCCGGGCCUUGUACACACCGCCCGUCACACCACGAGAGUUUGUAACACCCGAAGUCGGUGAGGUAACCUUUUGGAGCCAGCCGCCUAAGGUGGGAUAGAUGAUUGGGGUGAAG
rnacentral:rRNA from 1 species